UAUGGGAAAUAAAUUUCCCUGACAGAGAUCCAUAAUUCCGCAGCCCAGCUCAGUGUUUACAUUGCCUCGAGCUGUUGUUACGCCCGUGACAUGCCUUUUGAGACUUGUGUAGAGAUGUGAUCUUUUCGUCGUUUGGAUAUACUUUCAAUAAAAAGAAACCAGUGUCUAUGGUAAAAGUUAACUUUGUAUCUGGGUGAAGUGACAACAUGCCGAAAGGCGGCAAGAACAAGCUGAACCUGACGAUUUCCGUGUCUGAACCACAGACAGACGGAAGCGAUCGUCAGAAUGGAGCACAAGCCAAUUUAGAAGCUUUGCAACAAAAACUGCAAGAGCUUGACAUUGACGAUCAGCAGAGAGAGAGGUUAGAGGAGUUUCUUUCACAAAAACAGAAAAUUGGCGAGCUGCUUGAAGAAGACUUUGAGAAACUCGGGGAGUUGGGAGCUGGCAAUGGAGGUGUAGUCACCAAAGUGCUUCAUCAUCCUUCAAAUCUGGUGAUGGCGCGAAAACUUAUCCACCUUGAAAUCAAGCCAAUGGUCAGAAAUCAGAUUAUCCGUGAACUGAAAGUCCUUCACGAAUGUAACUCGCCCUACAUUGUUGGAUACUAUGGUGCUUUCUACAGUGAUGGUGAAAUAAGCAUUUGCAUGGAGUAUAUGGAUGGUGGCUCCUUAGAUUUGAUACUAAGGAAAGCUGGCCGGAUCCCAGAGCCUAUUUUAGGAAUUAUUACCAUUGCAGUGCUUAAGGGUUUGUCGUACUUGAGAGAAAAUCAUCAAAUUAUUCAUCGUGAUGUCAAACCUUCAAAUAUCCUUGUGAAUUCACAUGGAGAGAUAAAGUUGUGUGAUUUUGGUGUCAGUGGACAGCUGAUAGAUUCAAUGGCAAACUCCUUUGUGGGGACCAGAUCUUAUAUGGCGCCUGAGCGGCUUCAAGGCAGCCACUACUCGGUUCAGUCAGACAUUUGGAGCUUAGGUCUUUCUCUGGUGGAAAUGUCCAUUGGUCGGUAUCCAGUACCCCCUCCAGAGGCGAGAGAUCUUGCCAGCAUAUUUGGGGACAAUGCGAACGAAGAGCAUAUGGAAGCAGCAAUGACGGGCAGGCCUUUGAAAGCUUGUCCAGGAGACAUUGAGGUUUUUACUGGGGAUGGUCCCCUGCCUAUGGCCAUAUUUGAACUGCUUGAAUAUAUAGUCAACGAGGCACCCGCAAUAACUAUAUGGUACCAACGCAGGGGGGCGCUGCUGAGGCACCGCGAUCUAUGGCCAUAUUUGAGCUUUUAGAUUACAUUGUGAAUGAGCCUCCACCGACUCUCCCGAAAGGACGAUUUUCUGACGAAUUUGUUGAUUUUGUUGAUAGAUGCUUAAAGAAGAAUCCAUCGGACAGAGCUGAUCUGCAGUCCUUAGU
rnacentral:misc_RNA from 1 species